rnacentral:rRNA from 1 species
CCUGAUGCAGCAACGCCGCGUGAGGGACGACGGCCUUCGGGUUGUAAACCUCUUUUAGCAAGGAAGAAGCGAAAGUGACGGUACUUGCAGAAAAAGCACCGGCUAACUACGUGCCAGCAGCCGCGGUAAUACGUAGGGUGCAAGCGUUAUCCGGAAUUAUUGGGCGUAAAGAGCUCGUAGGCGGUUUGUCGCGUCUGCUGUGAAAUCUGGGGGCUCAACCCCCAGCCUGCAGUGGGUACGGGCAGACUAGAGUGCGGUAGGGGAGAUUGGAAUUCCUGGUGUAGCGGUGGAAUGCGCAGAUAUCAGGAGGAACACCGAUGGCGAAGGCAGAUCUCUGGGCCGUAACUGACGCUGAGGAGCGAAAGGGUGGGGAGCAAACAGGCUUAGAUACCCUGGUAGUCCACCCCGUAAACGUUGGGAACUAGUUGUGGGGACCAUUCCACGGUGUCCGUGACGCAGCUAACGCAUUAAGUUCCCCGCCUGGGGAGUACGGCCGCAAGGCUAAAACUCAAAGGAAUUGACGGGGACCCGCACAAGCGGCGGAGCAUGCGGAUUAAUUCGAUGCAACGCGAAGAACCUUACCAAGGCUUGACAUAUACGAGAACGGGCUAGAAAUAGUCAACUCUUUGGACACUC